rnacentral:lncRNA from 1 species
GUAUGGCUAGAGCCCCAGCCCUGCUUGGUUCCACCGUCCUCCAUGGAGCCUUGGGGAGGGGUGGGUCUUAACUAGCCUAAGCCAAUUAUAAUAAUUUCAUUUCCCUAUAGGUGGGCUUAGAAGAAGCAGAUGCCCUGAUUCCAGCCAUGGAGACCUGAGGUUGCCUCUGCAAUGCCUGGAAUUUUGGCAGCCAUCUUGGGAUCAUGAGAAAAGUCAGCCUGAAGGAAACGUGCUGAGAAGGACAAAGGAGAAAGGCGAAGGGCCUGAAAGUGGCUGUGGGAAGCUUCUUUGGUCUAUUCCCUCUCCU